rnacentral:lncRNA from 1 species
CACACCAGUAUCAUCCAUUUUUAUUAGAUAAAUUAAAAAGGUGUACUUUCUAUGUAUUUUCUAUUUUUCAGUGUUCAAGGGCCACAGCUGCUGCUUGCUGCCUCUACAUUUCAAUGUGAAUCCCCUUAGAUGUCUUUGCCAUCACUUCUUUUCCCAGCUUGGAGUGCCUAGGCUGAGCUCAAGUGUAUGUCUGGAAAGAGAAAGAGAAAAUCCAUCAGUUUCAGUUGUGCCAGUGGAUAAACAGCAUUGAGAACUCCCUCUGGUUGGAUUCCCAAACUGCUCUGCAGGUUGCUGGCUACAGCAGACUACCAAAACAAAUCUCUUACCAUGAUCAAGGUCAGAGCCAGGUCAGUCAUUCACAGAAUAUUACAUUUCUUCUUGGAAGCAGGAAGCAUUUGAUAUUUGAUUUCCCUGUGCGCCACUCUUUGAUGGAUUUUCCUUUUCUUUCCUGCAGAGGGAAGAAUCUGUUAUGUUAAAACUGUUAUGUGUAUUUACAUAUAGUGACUGAUAUAUAUUUAAUACUGAUAGUGUCCUGGAAAAGCAUUAAGGAAAUGCAUCUUCUGGCUCUGCAAAAGUAUGUAGUAGGCUAUUCUGCUGGAGUUGAAGGUAAUUCUUUAUGGAAAAGUACAUGCACA